AUUGAACGCUGGCGGCAGGCCUAACACAUGCAAGUCGAGCGGAUGAAGGGAGCUUGCUCCUGGAUUCAGCGGCGGACGGGUGAGUAAUGCCUAGGAAUCUGCCUGGUAGUGGGGGAUAACGUCCGGAAACGGGCGCUAAUACCGCAUACGUCCUGAGGGAGAAAGUGGGGGAUCUUCGGACCUCACGCUAUCAGAUGAGCCUAGGUCGGAUUAGCUAGUUGGUGGGGUAAAGGCCUACCAAGGCGACGAUCCGGAACUGGUCUGAGAGGAUGAUCAGUCACACUGGAACUGAGACACGGUCCAGACUCCUACGGGAGGCAGCAGUGGGGAAUAUUGGACAAUGGGCGAAAGCCUGAUCCAGCCAUGCCGCGUGUGUGAAGAAGGUCUUCGGAUUGUAAAGCACUUUAAGUUGGGAGGAAGUGCAGUAAGUUAAUACCUUGCUGUUUUGACGUUACCAACAGAAUAAGCACCGGCUAACUUCGUG
rnacentral:rRNA from 1 species